GUACCCAUUUCAGCAGAACAAAUCCUCAAAUUGGAAUGACACAAAGUAUAGUAGCAUGAAUCCUGUGCUAGAAUGACACCCAAAUCUAUAGAGCGCUCUAAAAACGU
rnacentral:snRNA from 1 species